AGGCCGCGGCUCUCCGUGCUCUUGGGGAAGGGCUUGAUGACGGCAGUUUGGUUGGGGUUCUCCUUCUUGUUGAUGUGGAUGGACAGCCGCUGCCACAGGUGCUGCCCCCGGCUACUCUUCUCGUUCUGCGCCCACGUGACAGAUUUUCCAUUGGAGCUGCGGAGAGAAGAGAGACGAGGACCUUGAAAUGAGGAAGCAGAUGGCCAGGAGGAAGGAUGCUAAACAUGAGCAUUCAAACCAUUUACUGAAUACCCCAUGUGCAAGGCACUGUGAUAAGGAGCACGUGGAUAACUCUAUGCCAUUGAUAAGUUCAUAGCCUGGAGUGGGAGGAUGAAAGAUAUACAGAGAGUGGCGAAA